rnacentral:lncRNA from 1 species
GUUCAUUCAGAAGAUAUGAUUUUCCAGAAGUUCAAUCAGUCCCUUCAAUUGUUAAACACAUAUGAGCUAAAGUGAGUUUAAAGUGGCCCUGAGCCAGGCGCAGGGACCCCCUCAUGUAGGAGAGAACCUCAUCUUGCAGGGGCUUUCAACCUGGCUGCUUAACAGUCUUCGGUCUGGAGAAUUCUCUCCGAGGAAGGAGGGACAGAGGGAUACUUUGGUCUGUUUAGAACCAGAAAUUCAGGAUGGGCUACAAAGUUUGGAUUGUGGUAUCAGGAAGACAAAUGGCAAAAUUUCACAAGGACCAACUGUAAGCAGGGCUGAUGAACGCUGCUGGAUUCUCUGUGAUUGUCUCUACGUCCUCCAUGAGUAUAUAGAGAGUCUCCAGGCUGUUUUCCCACAUGGACCAAACUUGCCUCUGCAGUCCCAGGCAUCAUAUCUACACAACAAUCAGUCCAUAAAGAGAGAGACUUGCCCUCCCUGUUCCACUGAUCAGGAAAUCAGCUUUCAGGAGGGCUGGACGAGCUCACUUACACCAUCACCCAGCUCCACCAUGAUUUAGUAAGAAGGUAAAGAAGGCUCAAGAAACCUCCAUGGUGGCAUCUUCCAAAGCUCACCCGGACACCUCUCCCCGCCUUCACUCUCUCCAAUGUGGACCAGACUCAGGAACCAUCACAUGAACCACUACCUCUGUCCACAUGCUCCACAUAGAAGUUCCUUUUGCUCCCAAACCACAGCAACUACUCCCUUGGCCACCACUGUGUCAUUUCUGGGAGUGUCCACAUCACAGAGUAAAGUUCAGAGGGAAUGAGAGCACUCAGCCUGACGCUACCUCUGCUGUGACUCUGCCCAUCGAGGACAUAGAGAAAACUAUUAAGAGCCGCAGUUGAACUGUCCUGGUUUUUCCCCCACCUGGACUCUACAUGUCAAGGUCCUUCUGGAAUGUCCUUUGUCUAGCCAAUCAUAUCAUGUAAUGUCCUCAGACCUAGAAUCAUUGAUUUUCCCAAAUUCGUCCAUCUCUCUUAUGUUCUCAUUUCCUUCCCACCAGUUAGCUAAUGACCCCAACCAAGCAUCUUCAGCCCAUUGUCACAAACAUGUGUGUCGGGGGUGGAGUUUUAGAAAAAUAUAGCAUCAGAAAAUCAAAGUUUUAGUUGUUCCUGGGAAUCACUUCAGGACUCGAGAGAAGCGAUUCCUGACCCUUAAAGAUUCCAGUCCUCAGUCACCACAGGGUCAAUAGAUUAGAUAGAAGGAUCCUCUCAGAGAUCUCAGUAAGUAACCUCCUAAAUUGUUAGGGAAAUUUUUCCAAAAGUUAAACAUAUGGAGUAAGAACAUGUGUCAAAAAUUUAUUCAACUUAUAUUUCAUUGAGGAGACUAGUGAGACAGUAAUAGAUGUUAAAGGGUAUUUUUUAAAUAUAGUACAUUUAUUCUACCAAGACUGGGCCAAG